GUAUUGCUAUCCAUAUGUUGUUAGACUUUAAACAGCGUCAAAAAGUAAUUGUCAGACUUCUUGGUUGAGCAGCGGUUUUAGAAUUCAGUAGCUAAUGUUGCCAUUGGGAGAGUGUAUGCUUCUGCUGGGCCCUUUGCUGGUUCUGUGCAGUGCUGGUUAGGUAGAUGUUGAUGACUGAGCCUGGACCUGGGUAUUUUUCUGUAGUUUGAAAUCCCCAUCAAUGCUACUGUUGUCUGCGUAGCUGCAGAUGCUGAAGCUUCUUGUAACUGUCUUUCCAAGUUAGAUGUGGAAUAGACAAAGAAGGGGUGUUGGAAUUAUUAGGAGGGCUUUGGUAGUUUAAAAAAAAAAAAAAAAAGUAGGGGCCUGUUGUGGUGGAUGGAAAGAAGGAAUCACCAAAACCAAGUGUAUGCAGUGUGUUGCUGAUGUGAUGCUGGGGCUCUGGAGGAGAUGUAGAAGCUGGGUUUAGGGAAAAUAAAGGAAUGCAGAAGCUGGACAAGGAGAAACCUGAGAGGAAGUGGUAGGAUAUACAGUGCUCCUAUUUCGUGCAUGUUGUUUGAGUAAUGUAGGGUAUUUUUAUAUAUCACUUGUGUAGGUAUUCUCCCAACAGAAGGUAAGACUCAGGUAGAGCCUCCCCUACUUCCCACUUCCUAACACCCAUGUUUCCUCAUUAUUAAAGAAUACUUCCCCAGUAUUAUUUCUGUAUUAAAACUAGUGGUUGGUUGAUUGGUCUCUUCAGCAUAAGCUUUUACCUAAAAUGUAAGAAGAAAAAUUCACCUGAAUCCUCAGCAGCUUGAGGCAGUUCCUAAAUUCUUCUGUGUGCUUUCCCAGUAAAUAUUUCAGAGAACUUGUGAUGGCUGUGUUACUGUUACCACGGAGGUGUCAUGAUUUUAAAAAUGCAUUGUGCCAAAUCACAGUAAAAUUCUUCUCUGUACUUCUGCGUAGUUUGUACUUCCGCCCUGAAUGGCUCCCUCCCCUGAGCUGGCAGCAAACCACCUUCCGUUCACCCAGACCGAUACAAGCUUUAGGAUGGGACAAAGUGCAGACAGGCCCUGCCUACUCAUUUUCAAAGCAGAUGAGUUCCUAAGUGGUGGCAGGAAGUGUGAGUGAAGGAGAGACACUACCACCCCUAAGUUUUGUUUCAAAUAACCACAAUUAAAGGUAAUGAAAUGGAGAGAGUGAGAAUAUGGAAGAACAUCGGCAGCAUAUUCUCAAGGUAAAGGUAUGUUACCUUGAUGUCAUAUUCAAAGCCUUUGUUGACUUUCCAGGCAGAAUGCUAGAGGUGACAUUAACUUUUAAACCAGGACUGUAUUUGCCUUUGUUUCACAGCUGAGGCAGAAGAAGCCAUUCCACAUUACGUAGUUGGGUGGAAAGGACAGUAACAGAAACCAGAAGACAACUUUUUUUCUCCUACUUUUCAAUGUAAGAACAAGAAAUUAUAUGCUGUCGCAACACUUCAGGCACUGAGGGUUUAGUUAAUACCGUUGAUAAUUUAACAGGGCAGUACAUACAUUGCUGUAAAUACAUGAAGUAAAUAAAUGCUGUCUUUGGUUUUUCUAAUUUGCUUCUGCAAAAAUGUAGGAAUCUCACUGGACAUACCUGAAAUUGAGGUGAAAACAUUUCUGAACUAUACUGUUUGUAGUUGUGUGUUAACUAGGAUGUACAGAGAUGAGUAAGUGAGAAAAGUGCAUUGCUGCAAGCUGCAUAAGAAAUGUUAGGUCAGUCAGUUUCUGGUCAAUGGAAGAGAGGCCUUGGAUGAGACUACAGCAAAUACCAUGUAUUUUUAUAAUAAAAAUUAAAACUUUUGCUUUUUAAAUAAGUCUGGUUUUAAAACCAGCUCCAAAUGGCCGCUAUCUUCUAGUCUAGCUCAGUUUUUUUUACAAGUAUCUAUUGCGUGAUGUUAUCUGGGAGUAAAGUAUGUUCUUACAGCAAUCAGGGCUGUAGCAUGUGCAGUAUAGGGAGGUUUUAAAAUAGUUUUACAAGCCUUAGAGCAGCUGAUCCUUGCUACACAAUAUUGACAUUUGUCUUGCCUGGUUAGUGAACUAGGAUUUUUAAAAAUAGGCUGUUGGCCACUAGCAUAGGGAACAAUUAGGGUGUUUUCAAUUUUGUCUUAAUGCCAGGUGUAUAUGGGAGAUGGUUCACUUGCUAAUCACGGCAUUUGUCAUCAAAUUACAAUGCCCAACCAGUUCUGACUGUAUUCAGAGCCUGUACUUUUUCCUGUCUUUUAAGGGCGUUUCCCGCUUUGCUUAUGCUAUUACAUGGUCUUUAAGUCAUACAGAGCUAAAGAAAUGGUUUAAUAUUAUUUGGUAGAAAUGUUAGUAAAUACACUGAAAAGAGUGUAAAGUAUGUCCAUUAAUAGCUGAUGCUUCUGCUGUUCACAGCUUCUUUCUUUGGACCUGUUUGCAUAAUGCUUCCAGCCAGUCGAGCCCAGCUACGAUCAUGGCAAAGACCACUAUUGCUGCGUGACUGAAGAACAGAUGCAGAUCCUAGUCCUGUCAAGAACAGUCUGCAACAGUGCAGCAUACCCUUCUCUUCUGAGAGAAAAGUAAGUGCCUUUAUAUAAAACAUAUAGGAACGUUUGCACACACACGUUAGUGGCAGCUCAUGGACACAGGUUCACGACAGUGCAGACAAGACUGUGUCUUCCAUCGUCUUCAUGCUUCCAUGUUCUUCGUGUGUUCCCUGGCUUUCUUCUCACUAUCGGACCAACCCUUUUACUGAUGCAAAAAUAGCAGAAAGUAAAGCAACUUCAGGUGGUUGUUGUGAACUCCUUUGAGCAGCUGUGCUGGCCAAGGCAUUUCUUUCAUUCCUGAAAGGAAAAAGCAGCUUGUUAGAAGAUAAUUCGCAUACUUACAAAGCUGUCCUGGUAUAUAAAGCAUGCAUCAUUUAAUUACAUAUUUAUUUUCUCUAAUGCUCUGACUUUUUAAGCAUCUCAAAUGGCAGUGGGCCAUUCCCCUUUAACAAACGCAUAUCAGUGCUUACAGCAUCUAGUACUGGAAAGAUGAAGUCUGUAUCACUGCAUGGAAACAGCUCUGUUCAGCAAUUGACAGAUGUCAGAUCUGCUAUGAUUCACUGUCUUCAGUAAGCACAAAAACACAGAGAAUGAUUUGUGGUUGGUUGUUUUGUUGCUGUUGGUGAUUUUUUUUUCUAUUUAUGAAAACAACCAAGAGCAGGAAAUUAUCAGAUACCUGAAUAGUAGAUAAUACAGAAUUUCUACCUUAAAAGUUUUCUGUAAGAUAACUUAGAUCAAAAUUACCAAAAAGAUUCAAGUAAAUUCACUUGAGUAUCCUAAAGGAUAUUAUUAUUAAUAUACAUUAAUCAUAUAUUAAUAAUUACUUGAAAGGCAGUACCACGUACAUGCUACAUUCGGUAUAAAACUACACUAUUCAGUACCUAUCAGUCAGCAUCACUAUUAAGUAAUGACUGCAGAUACAAAGAUGUGGCUGACAGAACAUAAACACAGAAAAAAUAUUGGUGAAUCUCCAAGGAAAUUGGCACUUCUUAAACUGUAUUUAUCAAGUUUAUCUUUAAACAAAGCAAUUCUGUUCUAGGUGAGACUGGUGAUAAGUAGCGAUAAAGACCUUGGGAAACUUAAAAUACAAACAGUUCUCAUUUAUUUAAUGAUACUGAUCUCUUCAAAUGCAGCAUGCGCUCAUUGUUUCCAUUUUUAUAAUGGAAACUGUGACAAGUAAGCUAGGAAGGGAUUUUAGCUUUUUCUUUAUUACUGUUAUUUAUUAUUUAAUUCCUUCACAUUUCGUUAGGAUGAAUUUUGGAGGUCAGUAAUAAAAUUCUGCUGUUUGUCAAUGACCUUUUAUUUUUAAAUCCUACUCCAGUUAGCAUCUCAUGUAUCCUCUUAGAACAUGCCAGAUGUUUUACCCUUAGUCUACUCAAGCUGCUCACAUAAUUGCCUUUUCUUGGUUGUGUCCUCCACAAAGCUGCUCUUAGAUUUCUUUAAAUGUGCUCCUCUCCUAUACUCUAUUCACAUACAACUUCAGACUCCAUUGUUCAGAACACAUGCUGAUCUUUCCUAAGACUUUACUUUUUUUCAGAUUUGACACUAUCCUGUGUGCUGUAACAUAAAUAGCUUCUGCAGUCCUACUUUCUCCUUUAACAUUAAACCACUCCUUAAAAAGUCACCACUCUUUUGCAUUUCCUGGAUGAGUCACACUGCUCUGUCUCUGUAAGUUUCAGGAAUAUGGUGCUUAAUAUGUUCUAAUAAUAGUGCAGAGUAAUUAAUACUCGUGAUUCAAAAGAACACCGUGCACCCAAAACACACUGCAUGUGCACUUCACCUGAGAGCAGAAUACUGAGGAAGUUCCAACUCCCCAGUACAGGCAGUGAUGCCCAGAAGACUGCCUUAUGCAUGAGGGCAAAAGCUGUUGUUAGAACAACACUUAUUUUGUUAAAGGUAAUAAUGUGCCAGAGGAAAGGACAGGUUGUUUUAUACUCCACCUAGCAAUUACUGCCUUCUCGAAAUAGCCAGCACAGUUCCUUCACUUCAGUCAAUAGCUUUGCUUUCUGCAGCCUGGUUAAAUUAACCCUACUGCUUUCUCUCAGAAGUCAGUUUUGGCUAAUAUUUUCUCUGAAGUUAAAUUAAAUACUUAGGAAUUUCAGGGACUGUACAGGCAAUCUCUAGGUGAACUUACAUGUUUCCAUAUUUCUCCAGUCCUCUCGAUUACAAUAGUUUGUGAUUUAUUGAUGGGUGAUGUAACCUUGUAGUCAUCAGACAAAAGACCCAGAAUAGGAUACUGGUUCCUGUACCUGUAUUAACGAGAGUUGCAAACCUAUUAACUAUAAAACUAUCCAAGUCACUGACUGAUUUUAUCACAUAAUCCUGUCAAUUAACAACCCCCAAAUAUUUUUACUAGUAACUAAAAUGCUAAUACUGUAAUUUUAAUGCCACUUUAACAUGCUCAUUUGCUAUUACAAUGGUUAGCAUUGAACCCUCUGUAGGUUUUACUAGCUGAAGUUUUUUUGCCUUUAAGUUGAACAGACAUCUGACAUUAAGACAUUUGCUGGAGGUCAGGACUUAGUUUAUAGAAGCUACACAACGGAAAAUCAAAAGGAUGUAUUUUUAAGAAAGGUGAAUAAGGGUGAAUAAGUACAUUACUUCUUAGUGAUGACAGCUGUUACACCAGGGGACUGACUGUUUGAUAAUCUCUCAUGCUUGAGUCUGAAGAGGUCCUGAGAAAACCAACAAUAAAUAUUCAAGUGAACUAAUGUUUCCUCAGGUAUUAGUUCACUAAAUUCACAAAAAAAUCUUGCAGAAAUUCCUAUCAAAUAUAUAAUACAUAAAUUAACUAUAAUAUUAUAUAAUACAUAGUAUAAUAUAUUAUAAAUAUAUAGUAAUAAUUCUAACCCUGAUGCCUGAUCCAGAUAGGUACAAGUGCCUUCUAGCUUCCAACUAGUGAUAAGCAACUAGUUAAGUUGCUAUGUUUGUAGUAAGCGGAGGCUUAAGCAUAAUAUAUUCUUAGACAAAAAAUAAGCUAUCCUGUUAUACCUCUUGCUGUUGUUUAAUGCAAGCGUCUUUCUCCUCCAGCAUCGAUGUCAAUUCAUGCAACUUUAUUUGCAAGUCACUGUUGUUCCCUUCUCUUCUUGAUAUAUCUUGCUGGAAUUGGCAUAACUGAGACUAUAGAACAUAGGUUAAGAAACAGUUAGGUGCUAGGUGCUCCUUGCAGGUGACCUUCCAGUAUGCAUCAAGAACUCUAUUUUGUUCAUCAAAACCGUCAACAGUAAGACUUGAAUUAGUGUGAUUUACAAAAUGCUGUGGACAUACGGGCACACAGGAAACACGGUCAUUUUCAAAUAUAAACCUUGAACUUCACAAUAAAUUCAGAAAGCGAUGAUUGGGCUGAAUUCUGACAGUAUCAGUUUAACAUGUGUAUAAGUGGAACUGGAUCCAGGGCAGUAAAAUACUGCUAUAAUGCUUCAAGUGAGAGAUGUCCUAUGUGCAGUUUUGAUCGGGAUUUAUCUUUAUUUUCUGUUGGGUAUCUUUUGGCAGUUUCUUACUUCAUCGGGACAAAACGUCCCCUUAGGAGUUAAUGAGAUUAGCAGUAUUUCUUAAUUUCUACAUCUAAAGAAUUCUUAUUUUUUAAUGACACUUUAAUGCAUUUUAGAGCUAUCACUAGUGCUGCAUAAAGGAACUGCAGAGCCAAAAGGUAACUAAAAAGCAUGUGAUAGAUUUUUUUCUGUUACCUAAUCAAAAAAUAAUUUAAGAAAUACAUAUUUUGUAAAAAAACUGAUUACCUCCAGUCAUACAAGGUGAGGAAUACACAUAUGGCAAAAGUUAAUCUACAUACCCUAAGACUGCGGAUCUCACGAUCUUUAUCCUCUCUCAAGUUAUUGAUCAUCUCUACAUAACGGCUGGAGAGUUCAUCUGUGGUGGUCUGAAGUGUUGGAUUAGAGCAGAUCUACAGAAAAAAAGUAUUUCACAAAGACAAAAUUAUCUUCUAUCUUAUAAUUUUAUUUUCUUAAUUAUCCGUGAAUAACAGCUAUUGAAUACAGAACAAGUGAAGGUCUCAUUACUACCUGUAGUCUGAGGCUCUGAAUCUCCUGCUCCAAGGCACGCUUGCAGUAUUCCAGUUCUUUCAACUGACAAUCCUUCUCUCCCUCGCUGAGCCGUAUAGAAAGGAGCUGUUCUUCCAGAGAGCGACACUUUGCAGUACUCUCUCUGAGUCCUUGCUGGAAAGCACAGAAGUGGAAUGAAUGCAUGGUGUUCCUUAGGGAUGUAACAGGCUCACACACACACAAAUGUACACCAGGCUGUAAUCACUGAGAAUACUCACAAAGCCAUCACACUGGCUAGUUUUUGGCUGACUGUAGAAAUACUGAAACUACGUUCUUAGCUUUACCUGCUGCUGAUGAUUAUUCUCUCGCAGAGAUGUCAACAUAGUUUCAUAUUCUUUUACUUGAGAUUCUUUAAAAGCCAAAUCCUUCUUCAGUAAGACAUUGUCAGUUUCUAACUUCUGUAAGACAAAAGUGUGAACUGUCAUUAGUUGCAAUUUUUCAGUGAGCAGUCCUAUGUAUGUUCAAAGUGCAAUAUACUAAGUGAUGUUUUAGUACUUAAAAUUACCCAAUUUUCUUUUAACUACAUAGAGCUCACAUUUGCUCAUCAUUGCAGUUCGCUGUGGCUUCAUGCUGUGUGGUAAGCACUGUUAUCUUGGACGCUGCUCUUUCAGUCUGUCCCAGAAAGACUUAUUUGUAGUUAUUAAACAGAAACCAAGAGAAAAAUCCGAACCGAAGACCACUUCACUGCACAGACUCCAGCUUUCCUAUGGAGCAGGGAGUACCCCUUAGACAGGAAUGGAACCAAGGUCUCCUGCUUCCUGGCAGAAUGCUAUUUAAGUAAGCACUUGGCAUAUGUGCCCUGUCCAUGUCACAAGUAAAACCACAGUUCCAGUACAUCUCCACCAAAUAGACAUGCAUAGAUUGUGUAUGCCAAUUCAGAGCUCUAAGUCUAAGUCCACUCAAAAGGGCCUUUUCUGCCUUUGAAAUUGUUUGGUUAUUUAGGCUUCAACAAACUGAACACCUAAAAACCACUUCUAGGAAGAAAUCCAAUCUCGUGUGCUGGUCAGCUCUCGCAAGGCCAAUAAACCAUCCAUUUCUGUUAAAGCACCUGAAGUCUGGACUUCCAAGUUAAACUUCAUCAGAAAGGACUUCUUACUGACAGGUAGCAACAAACGGACGAGGCCCAGGAAAUGGAAAAAUAGCAACUUACCCCCAGGUCAUCCUGUAAGUGGCAAAGCUCUUCACGUAAAUUUUUGAAAGUGGAAAGCACAAGUCUCAAAGAUUUAUCAGAUGUUACUCUCAUCUAGGAAAGGAAAAAAAAAAGCAAAAAAAAAGCAAAGAAUAUAUUAUUCUGAUUAAUUAGUGAGCUUUGUUUACCUUAUGCUUAGCUAUGUGUGAAAGAACAGAACUGCUAUACAGCUGAAAAUAACUCCUGGCAGUACUGUGCAUGUCAUUCUUGAUGAUUUCUACAAAGAGACACAUUUUCAAGUACUUUGUUCUGCAGACAACAGAAUCUCUGAAUGAUUGCCUUGUAACACACAGGACAACAUUUUUUAAAAAAUGCGUGAACAAGAGAGUAAAUGAAAAUUGCAUUUACACACCAAUAAAGAUAAAAAUAAAUGCAUUAAUAUUGCAUAAUCAUUUUUUGAGAGCUUUCUGAGUUAUACUGAUAGGGUAACCACCCCACCUGGAAUGCCACAGAGGAAGGAGUCAUCAUUGAGACCUGACAAAGCCCCCUUUCAGCCCAAGUGCAAGAGAAUUUAUUAAACAACAACAAGCAAAAGUGCCACACAACCAGUUCUUCACUUUAAGAGUUCCCUAAGAUUUAAGGAGUCAACUGAAUGAGAAAGAAAGGCAAUAGUGCACAACAGCCUAACACUCAUCUCUUUUUUUUUUUUUAAUACACACUAACAAUUGUGUAUGGAUUCAUGGGAAAUGACAAAAUGUUGAAUUUCGUGAUGCAUUUCCAAUAUUCAAAAGAAAAAAAUGACUUUGAAAGAAAACACAGAAGAAUUCCUCUUUUUUUUUUUGACUCAUAUAGAUAGGCUGAACAUUCUUUGCAAAAGAAUUUUGCAAAUGUUACUUUUUGAAAACAAUGAAAUUCUGUCCCUCUUCCUCCAAUACUCUCAACUCUAUGAAAGAAAUUUGUUGAUCAUUCAAAUCUAAGAAAACUAUUAAGCCCCUGUCACAUUUGUCAUUUCUACUGGUAACAUAUUGAGACUGAGGCCUCACAAAAUAACAUUUCUAGCAUUUUUUGUAAUUAAAGUGGAAUUUCAGUUCUUUCAGUUGCUGACAAACAUGUUUCACCAAAAGACAUUUUGUGUACUUUUAAAGCAUUUUUAUAAGAAUGUAAAACUAGAUAGACGUAGAGAAAAUGGAAGAUACAUGUUUCAGUUCUUUCACAAAGGGCAUGGUGUUCUAAUGAGAUCAUGAAAUAUUUUGCUGUCAGUGUCCUUCAUUCUAAAAGAAUCACAAAAUAAUCAAGGUUGGAAGAGCCGUGAGAGGUCACCCUGUCCAACCUCAUGCUUAAAAACCAGGAUGAGCUGUGAAGUCAGAGCAGGUUGCUCACUCACACGUUUUCUUUACCAGGAGGUGUUCUGCAACCCUCAGAUGGGAUCACCUGAGCCCUACCCCAUGGAGACCAGAUCAGUGCAGGCUGCUUUGGAUCCUGUUCUACCUACAGGUCAAGUCCACCAUUUGGGAGCCAACCCUGGGAUUCACACACUAGCUACUGCUAUUCACAAUAGCACUGUUUUUAAUGUUUUAUCAAAGGAAGGGGUCUUCCAAGCACUUCCUAAAGAAGUCAGUGGUUUUUGUAAAAAAACAUGUUACGGAGACUGUUAGAAUGUUAGGAAGCAACGCAAUGCAUAACCAUUAUCAGAAGCUGACAUUCUUGUUGGAUUGCCUUGCAGCCAAACCUACGUGGCUGUUGAUUGAAAAAGCAGGUAGAGAUGGUUAAGUGGCUAAAGAAUAUGAUGAGACAGAACACAAAAGCCAUUUAUAGAUGGAGCCAAACCAGAAAUGGUUUAUGUUUUGUUACUGGAUGUUUUAAGCAUGCCACAGAGAUACUGCUCUGGUACAGCUGUUUAACCAGACCAUUUGUAAAAGGUGAGACCUCAGUUAUAAGCAGUGUAUGUAAUAAGCAGUAAUCAAUACUCAAUUCAACAUUCAGUAAAACGCCUACUAUGCACUUUUAGCUUUUAAUAUAAAGCAUUAAUAUACAACACAAACAAAUAAAAAGAUGAAAAAUCAGUGUUCUCCUACAAUUAAUGUCAAAAGCCAAAAUGGUUUCCAGUGGAACUGGAAGAAAGCUGCAGUAAAGCUGGGUUUAAAAUACACAAAUAAUCUGUGGAGUGAACUGCCACAACAUGUCACUUGAAGCCACCUGUAUGCUUCCGUACCCUUCACGUAGAAUAAAUGGAGUAAGCAGAAUAUAGAGCAAUUUAUGUUUUGUACCAAUUCCCAGGUAUGUGUUGAGCCAACUUCUACUGUUUGGAGUUACUACAGGCUUCCAUACAUCCCCCUCCAUGCUAUGUACAUACCUGGAGGAGAUAACGAAUCUGCUGCUUUGUUGCCUCAGACAGUCCUUUGGGAAUUAAAUCUUCUACAUCUUCAGUCUAAGCAAAGGAAGGAAGGAGGAAACAUCUUAUUAAGAAUUUUGCCUGGUUGAUCAUAAUGUGGUUUCUUCAUUAAUUACAUAGCUCUCCUAUGAAAAACAUGUUUAGUGCAAGGCAAAUCAGAAGGAAAAUAGAUCAAAGUAUAUCCAAAAAUGUUCAAAAGCCUUAUAUGUGGCAUAUAGAAACUGAGAUGAAAUGAUAAACGAAGCAUAUAUUCAAAUAUGCAUAAAGCUUAACAUUUCUUUUAAACGCAGCAUUCAAAACAAUUCCCUCUCAAGAAAUAGCAAUUAACACUAAAACAGAACUCCCAGCAGUUAAUGAUUAUGAGCAAACCUCAUUUUUCUAAAUAAUGAAUAGACUGUCAAUAAAUAAAUGACCAACACGUGACAGGAGAUACUGCCAGUGAUUAAGCGGCAUUGCUUCAUGCAAUUAAAUCCUAGACAAAUAUUACUACCAUAUAAAUAAUGACUUCAAAAAUAACAAAUGUUGGUCCCAGUGAAUGCGUCAUGGCUGGAUUCCCAAAAGAGAGCUGUCUGUAAAUCUAAGAAGUGUUCUGUCAACUUUACUUCCCCUCACUUCUGUGAGAGGCGGCGUUCUUCCCUUCUCGCAGUGCCCGGCAGUGUACGUUGCUGAACAAACGCUUUGUUGGCAAGAGUGAAAGAUCCUACACACAAAGCGCCCAGUGAAAACGGUGUAUGUGUGUAAGUUUGGGCUACAAUGAAACCACCACUGGCAUAACAGGAACGACUUUUAAAAUUUCACUCUGAUGCUGGAAUGCAAAUUGUUCAACUUCCCUUCUUUUGGUAUUAGCACAUUUGCAAAUACAUAGCUCGCAGUAGGCUGCAGGCUCUGAAUGUUACUAACAAGCAGAAGUUGUUAGCUAACAGACCAGUAUCCUUCAGCUAAACUGGCUUGGCUUAAUUUGUUCCAAGAUUCACACCACUCUUAUUAAAACUAACUUUUAGGGAACAGCUUUGUAGGAGCAUCCAUGAUGCUUACCUGACUCGUAAAUUCAACGUCAUGGUUCCUGUGAAACAGACAAAAUGCAGGGACUGAUUAACAGAAAACCUGACAACUCCAAGUUCAUGAUCACACUGACAAUUACAAGAGGAUUAGCUUUAAAAUAU